AAACCAACAGGGAUUGCCCCAGUAGCGGCGAGUGAAGCGGCAAGAGCUCAGAUUUGAAAUCGUGUUUCGGCACGAGUUGUAGAGUGUAGGCGGGAGUGUCUGCGGCGGGCAGUGUCCAAGUCCCUUGGAACAGGGCGCCACUGAGGGUGAGAGCCCCGUGGGAUGCUGCGCAAAGCUUUGAGACCCUGCUGACGAGUCGAGUUGUUUGGGAAUGCAGCUCCAAGCGGGUGGUAAAUUCCAUCUAAGGCUAAAUACUGGCGAGAGACCGAUAGCGAACAAGUACUGUGAAGGAAAGAUGAAAAGCACUUUGAAAAGAGAGUGAAACAGCACGUGAAAUUGUUGAAAGGGAAGGGUAUUGGGCCCGACAUGGGGAGUGCGCACCGUUGCCUCUUGUAGGCGGCGCUCUGGGCGCUCUCUGGGCCAGCAUCGGUUCUUGCUGCAGGAGAAGGGGUGCCGGAACGUGGCUCUUCGGAGUGUUACAGCCGGGGCCAGAUGCUGCGUGCGGGGGACCGAGGGCUGCGACAUAUGUCUCGGAUGCUGGCACAACGGCGCAACACCGCCCGUCUUAAAACAGGGACCCCAA
rnacentral:rRNA from 1 species